UACGUAGGUGGCGAGCGUUGUCCGGAAUUAUUGGGCGUAAAGAGCUCGUAGGCGGUCUGUCGCGUCGAAUGUGAAAACCCGGGGCUCAACUCCGGGCUUGCAUUCGAUACGGGCAGGCUAGAGUUCGGUAGGGGAGUCUGGAAUUCCUGGUGUAGCGGUGAAAUGCGCAGAUAUCAGGAGGAACACCGGUGGCGAAGGCGGGACUCUGGGCCGAUACUGACGCUGAGGAGCGAAAGCGUGGGGAGCGAACAGG
rnacentral:rRNA from 1 species